ACUUCGCAGUGGUUCGCACUCGGCUACUGUUAUUUCCGCGACUUAUAACCGUAUGAUAAAGUUACACUUGUUCACACAGAAAAUUGCACCCCAACAAAACUGUCGUUGGUACCCGAACUACAUUUCAGUCACUCAGUAAAGCGAUAAUUCAAAAUAUCAUUGUCUACAGAUCUGGAGAAAUUGCCAAUGCGUCUUUAGACUGUCUUUGUCAGACGAGAGAUACCCCGAUUCCUCGAGUAAUCCAUGGCUUCUUUGUAGACAUUGCUCUAACCUUGGUAAGUUUUGGGGGAAAGCAGUGUUCAAAUAAGGUAAAUGUCUGCAGUUGUGGCAUGUGUUGUAAUCUCCACACCACAGUAACACAAUAUGCUGUUAGAGAAACCAAAACAAAAUGGCUCAGACUAUUGAUGAAGUGGGGUAACAUGUGGUACUCUUUUCCCCAAAUUUGGAGGGAGCACAAUGCUGCUGCAACAAUCCAUGCUGAGGUUGGAAGUGCACAGCAACAAUGCACCAUCGUAUGACACUGAGGUUAGAUGACACACACACUUCCACUGUGGUAAAACAAGUGUGAGUGACAAAGAAGAAAGCGCCAGACCAUGUCUCUGUGAAGAAACAGGAAUUGCAGAAUUGGAGGUUCUGCAGCUUGAAGACUGGCAUAUCACAAUUGAGGCAAUAGUGGAAAAAGUGGAAAAUGAGUUUUCAACAUCUAGCUUGAAUUUUUAAUAUAGCAGAGGUCACCGACUACUGGGUUUCGCUACUACUAGCACUGAUUCAAAAAGCUACGUAACUGAGGCAGUAGCAGAAAUGUUGCACAUGUGUCAGGUCAAUCUAGAGGAGGUCUUCAGCCAGUGAUUCACAUUAAAUGAGUGCUGGGAAUAUCACUGUCACCCCAAGACAAAGGAGGAAAGCAAGCAGCGGAAAUGCAUGGAUUGACCAUUGUCGAAGAAGGUGACUGUACAUCAGAUCCUGAGCUUUCUGGGGUGGCAGCUCAUGUUGUUAGGUCACUUGGUAUCUUCUGCCAGCAGAUGUCACAUUCAGCGAAUCAUUCUCAGCACCUCAGGCCUCGGUCACGCAAUCACAAGUGCUCUCAAAGCCACGAGAAGAGAAAUUGUUCUUUGCAUGUUUUGUGUUAAAAGAAUUAAAUUUUUAUUUCUCUGUUGAUGUGAAUGACUGUAAGCAGUUCAAGUGUUCAGCGUGUGGGAAGCAGUAAAAAUUUAACAAACAUCUGAGCAAGCAUGCAUCAAAGGUUCAUCCUGAGAAAUUGAGUAUAAUUCCAGCUUUUCAAAAAAGUCAGAAGUCUUAUAUUUAUCAAUAUAAUGCCUGUCAUAAAAAGUUCAAUUAUGAAUUUAACUUCAAGGAUCAUCAGUGUGAUUAUCAUGGUGGGACCUCAAGCAACAGAAUGUGGGGGUAAGACAAAGUGGUGUGAUUGUAAUUUUGAGACAUCAUGAGGAAUUUGUUAUGUAAAACAUUGUAGACAAUGCAUGAUGUCCAGAUUAGUAUAGAAAAUUUGUAGUUGUGAUCAUUUUCUGAUUUAUAACAGUGGGAAGAAGGUACUGAGAAGACAAGAAAGACAGUUUUGUUAAAAACUGUGGCUCUAAAGUUGUUGCUAAUGGUUGUGUGAGACAUUAUUAUAUUUGCCAUUGCUCAGAUCAACAUAUUUCACUAAGUAAGGGUGCCAAAUACGUGAAAAAUAAUGGAGUGUUCCUAGCACAGAUUAAAGUUACCCAGAUCACAGGUGGCCCGUGCCAGGUAACAUUUGUUUCAACACACGGUGCACACAACAAUGACUUAUGUCACAUUGAUGUAAGUUAAAGAGUAAGUAGUAGCAGACAUACCCAACAAAAUCCCUUUCCUGGCUGUAGUUGAGAAAAUCAGAGAUUCAGUCUGUUUUGAACAGGAAAGAAUUCAUCUCCUAAUGAUGCAAGAUCUUGCAAACAUUUUGCAAACAAUUUGUGCUGAUGAGGAAGACUGCAGAACAAUGCAAUUAGUGAGAGACUGAUGUGCAAGAACUGAUCUCAGGUGAGAAUCAUUGUUUGCUAUUUUAUAAGCCCAAGGAGUAGUUACCAGAACUCAUUUAAGCCUGCAAAGCACUGGUUUUGUGUUGAUCGUAAUGAAUAAGGCCCAAGAUGAACUUUCGAAGAAAUAUGAACACGCUGCGUUUGUGUGUCUGCAACAUGUGAGCUAAAUAGCUACCAUUUUGAAUUAGCAACAUUAUUAGUGCUAGAAGAUAUGAAAGAGGUUUUCCCUUGUGCCUUCCUUGUAUCGAACUGGACCAAUACCCUAGUGAUGUCCAUAUUUCUUGAGUUUAUAAGAUCGGAGGUCGGUAAAAUUUCAUCAGAGGUGUUCAUGUGUGGCUUGGCUGUUUCUUUCUGUAAUACAUGGAAUGCAAUAAUGGGCCCACCUGCGAUAAAACUAUUUUGCACUUGGCAUAUUUACCAAUUGUGGAGAAGAAAUAUCAGUUGAAAAAUUAAGGGCCUAGAGAAAAAAGCCUAAGCUUAUGAACUAUUACAGCUUUAUUGAAGUAGGGGGAUGUGGCUGCAUUUAAAAUGAUGUUAUUAGCUGUCUUUCAGAGAUAUCCAGAACAUUGCAGUUUAGUUAUUACUUGCAGGAUAACUACCUGCAUAAUGCACAGUGCAAGCCCUAGUGCCACAGAUUAAAUGGUGACAUAACACAUAUAUGUAUAUAGAACAAAUGCACCACCCAAUUAAAUAUAUUUAUUUAAAAAGUGUGAAUGCCUAGACAAAUCACUGUUUGCUAUGGUGUCAUUUGCCAAGAAAAAACUAUUUGACAGACUUAUUGUCCCCACAAAAAGGAAAUCUCACCCACAAACUGCAAGACGUGCACUACAGGCACAGUUUAACUGAAAUGUUAAGCGAACACUAAUUAUCAUGGUGGAUUGGAAAUACCAUGUACUCUUCAAAUGUGUGCAGAAAUAUAUUGUAUCAGGGAUACUUAGGUGAUGUGUAACUGUAAAUCGAAGUGUGGAAAGUUCAGCAUGUCCAUACAAAAGUAUUGUUGCUCAUAUGUUGGCUUGAGCAUUAAGUAGCAGUUGUGUUUGUCAGAAGAUUAUAGGCUUGCAGCUGCCUGCAGGUAGUUGUAAUGAUGAUAAACUAUUGAUUUCAAGUGGGGAUCCAUGUGAUGUAAAUGAAAUUUGAAUACGUUUUUUGAAACCUGUCUUGAUCGGAUAGUCUGACAGCCCACACACAAUAGAAAUAACAUAGACCUUGUAGCUACAAACAGGCCAGAUAUUAUCAAACAAAUUGGUAUAGAGGCGGGGAUUAACAGUCAUAAUAUCGUUGCAGCAUUUACAGUUAUGAAAGUUAAUAAAUUAGUCAAGAGGGGGAGGAGAGUGUUUCUGCUGGAAAGAGCAGAUAAGUAGUUGGUUGUUAGCGUCUCACUUAGCGAAUUGAUAUCACUUAGUUCCAGUAAAAUGGAUGUAAAGGAAUUAUGGGCAGAUUUUGAAGAGAUAGUAAAUUGUGGUCUGGAGAACUAUGUUCCUAGCAAAUGGAUUAAGGAAACAAUGAAAUUCAGAAAAUGCUGAGGAAGUAAAGAUCUUGGUCCAAAAGAGAAUGCACAAAUGACGAGAGGCAAAGGUUAGUAGAGAUUUGUGCGUCUGUGGAAAAUACCUAUGUGCGAAGCACACUACUACUACUACUGUCAUAGCAAAAGAUCUGAUCUAGAACCCAAGAAAAUUCUUGUCCUAUUUAAAAUUGUUAAGAGGGUCUAAGGCUUCCACCCAGUCACUAGACCAGUCUGAAGUGGCACUUGAAGAUAGGAAAAUGAAAGCCAAAGUUCUAAAUUUCGCAUUUAAGAAAUUGGACGCGCAGGAGGCUCAUAUAAACAUACUGUCGGUUGACCUGCAAACAGAUGCCUGUAUGGACAAAAUAGUAAUAAGCAUCCCUGGCAUAGAGAAAUAACUGAAAGAGCUGAAAAUGAAAAAGUUGCCAGCCUGGAUCGAAUCCCAAUUCAGUUGUACAGAGAGUACCUUACAGCAUUGGCUCCUUACUUAUCAUGCAUUUAUUGCAAAUAUCUCACCCAACGGAAAGUCCCAAGCAACUGGAAGAAAGCACAGAUGACUCCAGUAUAUAAGAAGUGUAAAAGGGCAGUCCCAUAAA